rnacentral:rRNA from 1 species
GAGUUUGAUCCUGGCUCAGAGCGAACGCUGGCGGCAGGCUUAACACAUGCAAGUCGAACGGGCGUAGCAAUACGUCAGUGGCAGACGGGUGAGUAACGCGUGGGAACGUACCUUUCGGUUCGGAACAACUGAGGGAAACUUCAGCUAAUACCGGAUAAGCCCUUACGGGGAAAGAUUUAUCGCCGAAAGAUCGGCCCGCGUCUGAUUAGCUAGUUGGUGAGGUAAGAGCUCACCAAGGCGACGAUCAGUAGCUGGUCUGAGAGGAUGAUCAGCCACAUUGGGACUGAGACACGGCCCAAACUCCUACGGGAGGCAGCAGUGGGGAAUAUUGGACAAUGGGCGCAAGCCUGAUCCAGCCAUGCCGCGUGAGUGAUGAAGGCCCUAGGGUUGUAAAGCUCUUUUGUGCGGGAAGAUAAUGACGGUACCGCAAGAAUAAGCCCCGGCUAACUUCGUGCCAGCAGCCGCGGUAAUACGAAGGGGGCUAGCGUUGCUCGGAAUCACUGGGCGUAAAGGGUGCGUAGGCGGGUCUUUAAGUCAGGGGUGAAAUCCUGGAGCUCAACUCCAGAACUGCCUUUGAUACUGAGGAUCUUGAGUUCGGGAGAGGUGAGUGGAACUGCGAGUGUAGAGGUGAAAUUCGUAGAUAUUCGCAAGAACACCAGUGGCGAAGGCGGCUCACUGGCCCGAUACUGACGCUGAGGCACGAAAGCGUGGGGAGCAAACAGGAUUAGAUAUCCUGGUAGUCCACGCCGUAAACGAUGAAUGCCAGCCGUUGGGGAGUUUACUCUUCAGUGGCGCAGCUAACGCUUUAAGCAUUCCGCCUGGGGAGUACGGUCGCAAGAUUAAAACUCAAAGGAAUUGACGGGGGCCCGCACAAGCGGUGGAGCAUGUGGUUUAAUUCGACGCAACGCGCAGAACCUUACCAGCCCUUGACAUGUCUAUGACCGGUACCAGAGAUGGAACCUUCCCUUCGGGGCAUAGAGCACAGGUGCUGCAUGGCUGUCGUCAGCUCGUGUCGUGAGAUGUUGGGUUAAGUCCCGCAACGAGCGCAACCCCCGUCCUUAGUUGCUACCAUUUAGUUGAGCACUCUAAGGAGACUGCCGGUGAUAAGCCGCGAGGAAGGUGGGGAUGACGUCAAGUCCUCAUGGCCCUUACGGGCUGGGCUACACACGUGCUACAAUGGCGGUGACAAUGGGACGCUAAGGAGCAAUCCUCCGCAAAUCUCAAAAAGCCGUCUCAGUUCGGAUUGGGCUCUGCAACUCGAGCCCAUGAAGUUGGAAUCGCUAGUAAUCGUGGAUCAGCAUGCCACGGUGAAUACGUUCCCGGGCCUUGUACACACCGCCCGUCACACCAUGGGAGUUGGUUUUACCUGAAGGUAGUGCGCUAACCCGCAAGGGGGGCAGCUAACCACGGUAGGGUCAGCGACUGGGGUGAAGUCGUAACAAGGU